rnacentral:rRNA from 1 species
CUACGGGCCGCACCAGUGAGGAAUAUUGCACAGUGGGGGGAACCCUGAUGCAGCAACGCCGCGUGGAGGAUGACGCAUUUCGGUGUGUAAACUCCUUUUAUAUGUCAAGAAAAUGACGGUAGCAUAUGAAUAAGCACCGGCUAACCCCGUGCCAGCAGCCGCGGUAAUACGGAGGGUGCAAGCGUUACUCGGAAUCACUGGGCGUAAAGGACGCGUAGGCGGGUUGGAAAGUCAGGUGUGAAAUCCUACAGCUUAACUGUAGAACUGCACUUGAAACUUCUAAUCUAGAGUAUGGGAGGGGGAGAUGGAAUUAGUGGUGUAGGGGUAAAAUCCGUAGAUAUCACUAGGAAUACCUAAAGCGAAGGCGAUCUCCUGGAACAUUACUGACGCUAAGGCGUGAAAGCGUGGGGAGCAAACAGGAUUAGAUACCCUCGUAGUC